GAUUUGUCUAUUCUGCCUUUUUGUCUUCUAUUUUCUUUAUUUUUGCUCCUGAACAUUGAUUUGGAGGAUUGUUCCAGGUAGGAUCAACUCCAUAGCUGCAGGGGGCAGUAUAAGGAAAAUGUGAAUCCUAAUCUACCAGGUAGGUAGAUGGGAAGAGGUAUUUGACUAGGUGACAGUGUGCAGGUGGCGGUUUUGUCUGGCAGUCAUGGUGAGCUGAACCACAAACAUUUCAAUGCUUGGAUGACUUCGGUGACGCCAUUGCUUCUGCACACACUGAGACGUACGUAUUACAACAGAGCAGAAAUCCAGGCUGAGGCAGUGAGACAACAUCCCCUGCAUGUUCUGGAAACAUCUAAGAAACCUCUGGAUGGGAUGGAGAUGCUGCAAGAGCAGCUGAGGUCUGCUAACCUCCGUUAGAAAGAACUAAGGCCACGCCCACAACAGUAGGUGGCACUCUUCAUUCAUUUACCCUCCACCAAUCAAUGGAACCACUGGAGUUUCUGAAUUAAAACAAGACGAGCUGUUUGUAGUUUGUUUCUGUUGUGAUAUAUAUGAAUAUCGAAACAGUUUUGAGUGCUCGUCAUGAAACCUAUUUCCUGUUGACGAUGAUGGUAUAUUAUACGCGUCUGUGCGUGGGGAAAAAGCCAUUCAUUGAAACCAAAACAGCCAUUCUUCGGUGGUAUGUUG